AAAACCCAAAGCCCCAAAAACCAUACCCCAUAAGCCCAAGCCCGAAAUUAAAUUUAAAACCCAACCGACUAAAACCCAAAACCUACACCCAAGCCCACAACCCAAAACCUAAAGCCCCUAACCCGAUAAACCAUUACCUUCCUCUUCCUCUCGACAUCACCCCCGACAUAACCCUCCCAUCCCGCUGUAACCUUCAUCUUCACCGUCGCCUCCACCACCCACCACUCUUCCCAUAUUUCUCCUUUUCCAAUCACGCCCCUCCAUUUCGCCAUGUCCGAAUCCCCAUUAUCCUUCGAAAACUCA
rnacentral:misc_RNA from 1 species